rnacentral:rRNA from 1 species
UUAUCGACACAGCGGACUUCGGUCCUUGCUGCACCCUUGUCUUUUGCGUACCGUAUCGUUUCCUCGGCGG